GACGAACGCUGGCGGCGUGCUUAACACAUGCAAGUCGAACGGAAAGGCCCUGCUUUUGUGGGGUGCUCGAGUGGCGAACGGGUGAGUAACACGUGAGUAACCUGCCCUUGACUUUGGGAUAACUUCAGGAAACUGGGGCUAAUACCGGAUAGGAGCUCCUGCUGCAUGGUGGGGGUUGGAAAGUUUCGGCGGUUGGGGAUGGACUCGCGGCUUAUCGGCUUGUUGGUGGGGUAGUGGCUACCAAGGCUUUGACGGGUAGCCGGCCUGAGAGGGUGACCGGCCACAUUGGGACUGAGAUACGGCCCAGACUCCUACGGGAGGCAGCAGUGGGGAAUAUUGCACAAUGGGCGGAAGCCUGAUGCAGCAACGCCGCGUGCGGGAUGACGGUCUUCGGGUUGUAAACCGCUUUCGCCUGUGACGAAGCGUGAGUGACGGUAAUGGGUAAAGAAGCACCGGCUAACUACGUG
rnacentral:rRNA from 1 species